GCCAAAUUAAAAUACUCACUAGACACAUUAGAUAGUUAAUAAAACAUUAGAUAAUCAAUAAAACAUUAGAUAAUUAAUAAAACAUUAGAUAAGUAGAAACCACAAAUUACACUCCAAAUACACACACUGCUCCGCAUGAGUCUAAAAGCAGUGACUCAGUAAAGAGCCGAUUCAAAGAGCCGACUCAAAGAUCCGAUUCGUCCGUGAGGCGACACAUUUUUCCUCACCAGAGAAAACACCGGGUGAAUUUCUGAGGUCAUGUGGAUUAAAGAUCCCUCAGAGGUAUGGAUGGAAAUAUAAAUGAAAUGAAGAGACGCUGAACCUGAAGUACAGGUCCUCUUUAUCUGUCACGAGGGAGAGUCUACCUAACACUACGCAAGUCAAAAAUCCCAUAAUGGAACGGGACUGGUGUGGACGAGCUCUGGGAAAAAAUAGUGGAAGACAGGUAGGAAUUCUGGGCUCUCUAAGGCAGUGGUUUUCACAGUGGGGGCCACCAGGGGGCGCCCGGGGGUCCUCAACGAUUUGGUGUGAAAAAUAAAUAAAUACAUGAUUUUUAUAUCUAUAUUACUAUAGCAUGUUAUUUGUAACAAUACAUAUUAAAAUCACAUUUGCUAUACCUAACUCCCUUUUGCAACAACUUACUUGUGUGAGUCUGGCUUUUC